UACAGAGGGUGCAAGCGUUAAUCGGAAUUACUGGGCGUAAAGCGCGCGUAGGUGGUUUGUUAAGUUGGAUGUGAAAGCCCCGGGCUCAACCUGGGGACUGCAUCCAAAACUGGCAAGCUAGAGUACGGUAGAGGGUGGUGGAAUUUCCUGUGUAGCGGUGAAAUGCGUAGAUAUAGGAAGGAACACCAGUGGCGAAGGCGACCACCUGGACUGAUACUGACACUGAGGUGCGAAAGCGUGGGGAGCAAACAGG
rnacentral:rRNA from 1 species